rnacentral:rRNA from 1 species
GUGCCAGCAGCCGCGGUAAUACGGAGGGUGCAAGCGUUAAUCGGAAUUACUGGGCGUAAAGCGCGCGUAGGUGGCUUGAUAAGCCGGUUGUGAAAGCCCCGGGCUCAACCUGGGAACGGCAUCCGGAACUGUCAGGCUAGAGUGCAGGAGAGGAAGGUAGAAUUCCCGGUGUAGCGGUGAAAUGCGUAGAGGUCGGGAGGAAUACCAGUGGCGAAGGCGGCCUUCUGGACUGACACUGACACUGAGGUGCGAAAGCGUGGGUAGCAAACAGGAUUAGAUACCCUGAUAGUCCACGCCGUAAACGAUGUCGACCAGCCGUUGGGUGCCUAGCGCACUUUGUGGCGAAGUUAACGCGAUAAGUCGACCGCCUGGGGAGUACGGCCGCAAGGUUAAAACUCAAAUGAAUUGACGGGGGCCCGCACAAGCGGUGGAGCAUGUGGUUUAAUUCGAUGCAACGCGCAGAACCUUACC